AACGAACGCUGGCGGCAUGCCUAACACAUGCAAGUCGAACGAGACCUUCGGGUCUUUUGGCGCACGGGUGCUUAACGCCUGGUAACUUGCCCUUAGGUUCCCAAUAACUCCCCGUAAGGUGUGCUAAUACCGGAUAAUGUCUUCGGACCAAAGAUGUAUCGCCUUUGGAUGGGCCCGCGUUGGAUUAGCCAGUUGGUAGGGUAAAAGCCUAGCGUGGAGUCGAUCCAUAGCUGGUAUGGGAGGAGGAUCAGUCAGGCUGGGAGUGAGACACGGCCCAGCCUGGUACGGGAGGGAGGAGUAGGGUAUAUUAGAGGAUGGGGGAAAGUGUGAUCAAGCAGUGCCGGGUAAGAGGUGAAGGCCUUAGGGUAGUAAAGUUGUUUUACACGGGGUGAGAAUGACGGUACCGGGAGAAUAAGCUCCGGCUAACUACGUG
rnacentral:rRNA from 1 species